GCUAUAAAACCCAGGCCGGCAGGAUCGCUGCACCCGCGGCGGCCUCCUCGGUGCGCGACCCCCGGCUCAGAGGACUCUUUGCUGUCGCGCAAGAUGCGGAUGCUGCUGGCGCUCCUGGCCCUCUCCGCGGCGCGGCCAUCGGCCAGUGCAGAGUCACACUGGUGCUACGAGGUUCAAGCCGAGUCCUCCAACUACCCCUGCCUGGUGCCAGUCAAGUGGGGUGGAAACUGCCAGAAGGACCGCCAGUCCCCCAUCAACAUCGUCACCACCAAGGCAAAGGUGGACAAAAAACUGGGACGCUUCUUCUUCUCUGGCUACGAUAAGAAGCAAACGUGGACUGUCCAAAAUAACGGGCACUCAGUGAUGAUGUUGCUGGAGAACAAGGCCAGCAUUUCUGGAGGAGGACUGCCUGCCCCAUACCAGGCCAAACAGUUGCACCUGCACUGGUCCGACUUGCCAUAUAAGGGCUCGGAGCACAGCCUCGAUGGGGAGCACUUUGCCAUGGAGAUGCACAUAGUACAUGAGAAAGAGAAGGGGACAUCGAGGAAUGUGAAAGAGGCCCAGGACCCUGAAGACGAAAUUGCGGUGCUGGCCUUUCUGGUGGAGGCUGGAACCCAGGUGAACGAGGGCUUCCAGCCACUGGUGGAGGCACUGUCUGAUAUCCCCAAACCUGAGAUGAGCACUAUGAUGGCAGAGAGCAGCCUGUUGGACCUGCUCCCCAAGGAGGAGAAACUGAGGCACUACUUCCGCUACCUGGGCUCACUCACCACACCGACCUGCGAUGAGAAGGUCGUCUGGACUGUGUUCCAGGAGCCCAUUCAGCUUCACAGAGAACAGAUCCUGGCAUUCUCUCAGAAGCUGUACUACGACAAGGAACAGACAGUGAGCAUGAAGGACAAUGUCAGGCCCCUGCAGCAGCUGGGGCAGCGCACGGUGAUAAAGUCCGGGGCCCCGGGUCGGCCGCUGCCCUGGACCCUGCCUGCCCUGCUGGGCCCCAUGCUGGCCUGCCUGCUGGCCGGCUUCCUGCGAUGAUGGCUCACUUCUGCACGCAGCCUCUCUGUUGCCUCAGCUCUCCAAGUUCCAGGCUUCCGGUCCUUAGCCUUCCCAGCUGCUAAGGUCCCUGGGCCAUCAGAAGUGAAUAGAACAAACCUAAGACAUCACUCUCCAUCAAGAGGCCUGCAUGACUAUUUACAUCAUCUUCCAGGAAGAAGAGGAGGAGCUGCUUUGGGGACACCCACUUCCUCUCCUUACGUAACAACACACUGCAUUUGCACAAGUGUCCUUGGUUGUAAAGGGUUCCACACUCACUUUCUUAUUCAGGGCUUAUUACAAGCCUCUCAGGUAGCUAUGGUCAUGGUACCCUGAUCCCUUGUCAAAGAUGAGCCCACUGAGGCUCAUCUGAGCCCACUGAGGCUCAGGCUACUGUUGUGCCAGGAGUUGCUAAGUGGUGGAUCACAGACUCCAGUUCAGGGGGAGGUAGGGUGGUAAAGAAGCAGCUGGAUGAACCUGGGUUUGAAUCCAGCUCAGAAAUGUUCCAUCUGUGUGACACCACAGGCAAGUGACUUAACCUGAUUGAGCCUCAGCUUCCUGAUCUAGAAAAAGGGGUGACCAUACAUCCCUCAUAGAGCUGUG